ACUUGGUUUGGAGACAAAAUCACCCGUGUUAACAUUCAAUUUACCUGUAUUUGAAUUGAAAACGUACCUGUACUGUACGCAUUACAGAUUGUACCCUUCCCUGCACAUAAAGGAAGUCGGAAACACUCUGGUUGAACCCUAGAUCGUCACCAGGACAGCAUCAGGGGAACUUCUUAUUUGGUGGUUCGUUUAUGAAUAUAGAAAUGCUUGAUCUAGCUCAAUCUUAGAUAGCUUCACUCUGUAGAUCAGUUGAAAAGUUGUCAAAAUUGCUCAACUUGCUAUGGCAGAGCUGACUACCCACACAUCGGCCGAUGCAAAUAAUGGGCCGUAAUCCUUCGUUGGCGAUUUGAAUGUUGAGGAUGAAACUGCCAGCGAUGAUAUAUCCCUCGAGGGACUUGAGGAGGAGUUACAAGAAUGUAAUACUGAUGAUGUUGUUGCAAACAUACUCUCUAAAGGUACAACAUUGCGGGAAUACACUAAGGGUGUUGAAAACAAUUUGCGGCAAGUUGAAUUGGAUUCUAUCCAGGAUUACAUAAAGGAAAGUGAUAAUCUAGUCUCGCUUCAUGAUCAAAUUCGUGAUUGUGACAUGAUCCUAUUCCAAAUGGAGACCCUUCUCAGUGGAUUUCAGGAUGAGAUAGGUUCUAUAAGUUCGGAUAUCAAAAUUCUCCAAGAGAAGUUUAUGGAUAUGGGGCUGAGGCUGAAGAAUCGCAAGAAAACCAUCCUACAGAUUUAUCCACUUGUGGUGCUCUGCAAUCAAUUGGAUCAGAUCUCACACGCACAAGAGGCAAAUCUGAUGCAUACCAGAAUGGCUCUGCCUUGAAGCGAUCAAACGGUCUCAAAGAGAAGGAACCAUGGAAACACACCAACAAGCAGACCUGAGCCCAUAGCUUCUAGUGAGUUUUGUACCUGGAAAUGAGAAUGGAAAAUCAUAUGGAAGCACCAACAAAUGUAAUGAGUUUGAGACAGUUAACUGUAGCAGGUCCAGUCAAGAUAAGCGCAAGAGGAAAGCAAGCAUGGUGGAAGAGCCUAUUAAUCAGUAUGAGCGCCAAAAAUCUCAAAUUGCUUGAAGAUUCGUGAACCUCUCUGGAUACUCAACUAGUGGCAUCUCUUGGUAGUUCCUUAGUAGUCUUCUUGUAAUCCGAGCAGUUAUGUAUUGGUUUCGACUUGGAACUUUCGUUUGUUAACUAGCUGGUGGACAUGAUCCAGUAUUCAACAAAAACUAAUAGUACUUCUCUUUAGAAACUGAAAUAAUAUGUUAUGUUAUGCAAACCCAAAGUUCAAGUUCACGGAUGUGCUUCCCCUGACUUUCUAUGUUGGUUUUGGAUGUGAAGGUGCCAGUGAGUAAAGUAGAUUAUUAUAAUCUGCCGAAGAUGUGAAAGUUAAUAUGUCAGCCUACAGUUUUCUUCA